rnacentral:rRNA from 1 species
GUGGGGAAUCUUCCACAAUGGACGAAAGUCUGAUGGAGCAACGCCGCGUGAGUGAAGAAGGGUUUCGGCUCGUAAAGCUCUGUUGUCGGGGACGAAUGUGCAGUAUUUGAAUAAAGUACUGCAAUGACGGUACCUGACGAGGAAGCCACGGCUAACUACGUGCCAGCAGCCGCGGUAAUACGUAGGUGGCAAGCGUUGUCCGGAAUUAUUGGGCGUAAAGGGAGCGCAGGCGGGAAGGUAAGUCGGUCUUAAAAGUGCGGGGCUCAACCCCGUGAUGGGAUCGAAACUAUCUUUCUUGAGUGCAGGAGAGGAAAGUGGAAUUCCUAGUGUAGCGGUGAAAUGCGUAGAUAUUAGGAGGAACACCAGUGGCGAAGGCGACUUUCUGGACUGUAACUGACGCUGAGGCUCGAAAGCCAGGGGAGCGAACGGGAUUAGAAACCCGAGUAGUCC